AGAGUUUGAUCAUGGCUCAGGACGAACGCUGGCGGCGUGCUUAACACAUGCAAGUCGAGCGGUAAGGCCCUUCGGGGUACACGAGCGGCGAACGGGUGAGUAACACGUGGGUGAUCUGCCUCGCACUCUGGGAUAAGCCUGGGAAACUGGGUCUAAUACCGGAUAUGAGCCGGGACUGCAUGGUCCUGGUUGGAAAGGUU
rnacentral:rRNA from 1 species